rnacentral:rRNA from 1 species
AGUGAACGCUGGCGGUAGGCCUAACACAUGCAAGUCGAACGGCAGCACAGUAAGAGCUUGCUCUUACGGGUGGCGAGUGGCGGACGGGUGAGGAAUACAUCGGAAUCUACUUUUUCGUGGGGGAUAACGUAGGGAAACUUACGCUAAUACCGCAUACGACCUACGGUUGAAAGCAGGGGAUCUUCGGACCUUGCGCGAUUGAAUGAGCCGAUGUCGGAUUAGCUAGUUGGCGGGGUAAAGGCCCACCAAGGCGACGAUCCGUAGCUGGUCUGAGAGGAUGAUCAGCUACACUGGAACUGAGACACGGUCCAGACUACUACGGGAGGCAGCAGUGGGGAAUAUUGGACAAUGGGCGCAAGCCUGAUCCAGCCAUACCGCGUGGGUGAAGAAGGCCUUCGGGUUGUAAAGCCCUUUUGUUGGGAAAGAAAAGCAGCAGGUUAAUACCCCGCUGUUCUGACGGUACCCAAAGAAUAAGCACCGGCUAACUUCGUG